rnacentral:rRNA from 1 species
GGUUGAAGGUUGGGUAACACUAACUGGAGGACCGAACCGACUAAUGUUGAAAAAUUAGCGGAUGACUUGUGGCUGGGGGUGAAAGGCCAAUCAAACCGGGAGAUAGCUGGUUCUCCCCGAAAGCUAUUUAGGUAGCGCCUCGUGAAUUCAUCUCCGGGGGUAGAGCACUGUUUCGGCAAGGGGGUCAUCCCGACUUACCAACCCGAUGCAAACUGCGAAUACCGGAGAAUGUUAUCACGGGAGACACACGGCGGGUGCUAACGUCCGUCGUGAAGAGGGAAACAACCCAGACCGCCAGCUAAGGUCCCAAAGUCAUGGUUAAGUGGGAAACGAUGUGGGAAGGCCCAGACAGCCAGGAUGUUGGCUUAGAAGCAGCCAUCAUUUAAAGAAAGCGUAAUAGCUCACUGGUCGAGUCGGCCUGCGCGGAAGAUGUAACGGGGCUAAACCAUGCACCGAAGCUGCGGCAGCGACACUAUGUGUUGUUGGGUAGGGGAGCGUUCUGUAAGCCUGUGAAGGUGGCCUGUGAGGGUUGCUGGAGGUAUCAGAAGUGCGAAUGCUGACAUAAGUAACGAUAAAGCGGGUGAAAAGCCCGCUCGCCGGAAGACCAAGGGUUCCUGUCCAACGUUAAUCGGGGCAGGGUGAGUCGACCCCUAAGGCGAGGCCGAAAGGCGUAGUCGAUGGGAAACAGGUUAAUAUUCCUGUACUUGGUGUUACUGCGAAGGGGGGACGGAGAAGGCUAUGUUGGCCGGGCGACGGUUGUCCCGGUUUAAGCGUGUAGGCUGGUUUUCCAGGCAAAUCCGGAAAACCAAGGCUGAGGCGUGAUGACGAGGCACUACGGUGCUGAAGCGACAAAUGCCCUGCUUCCAGGAAAAGCCUCUAAGCAUCAGGUAACAUCAAAUCGUACCCCAAACCGACACAGGUGGUCAGGUAGAGAAUACCAAGGCGCUUGAGAGAACUCGGGUGAAGGAACUAGGCAAAAUGGUGCCGUAACUUCGGGAGAAGGCACGCUGAUAUGUAGGUGAAGCGACUUGCUCGUGGAGCUGAAAUCAGUCGAAGAUACCAGCUGGCUGCAACUGUUUAUUAAAAACACAGCACUGUGCAAACACGAAAGUGGACGUAUACGGUGUGACGCCUGCCCGGUGCCGGAAG